CUGGGAAACUUGAGUGCAGAAGAGGAGAGUGGAAUUCCACGUGUAGCGGUGAAAUGCUAAGAGAUGUGGAGGAACACCAGUGGCGAAGGCGACUCUCUGGUCUGUAACUGACGCUGAGGAGCGAAAGCGUGGGGAGCGAACAGGAUUAGAUACCCUGGUAGUCCACGCCGUAAACGAUGAGUGCUAAGUGUUAGGGGGUUUCCGCCCCUUAGUGCUGCAGCUAACGCAUUAAGCACUCCGCCUGGGGAGUACGGUCGCAAGACUGAAACUCAAAGGAAUUGACGGGGGCCCGCACAAGCGGUGGAGCAUGUGGUUUAAUUCGAAGCAACGCGAAGAACCUUACCAGGUCUUGACAUCCUCUGACAACCCUAGAGAUAGGGCUUUCCCUUCGGGGACAGAGUGACAGGUGGUGCAUGGUUGUCGUCAGCUCGUGUCGUGAGAUGUUGGGUUAAGUCCCGCAACGAGCGCAACCCUUGAUCUUAGUUGCCAGCAUUCAGUUGGGCACUCUAAGGUGACUGCCGGUGACAAACCGGAGGAAGGUGGGGAUGACGUCAAAUCAUCAUGCCCCUUAUGACCUGGGCUACACACGUGCUACAAUGGACAGAACAAAGGGCUGCAAGACCGCAAGGUUUAGCCAAUCCCAUAAAUCUGUUCUCAGUUCGGAUCGCAGUCUGCAACUCGACUGCGUGAAGCUGGAAUCGCUAGUAAUCGCGGAUCA
rnacentral:rRNA from 1 species